UACGGAGGGGGGCUAGCGUUGUUCGGAAUUACUGGGCGUAAAGCGCACGUAGGCGGCUUUGUAAGUUAGAGGUGAAAGCCCAGGGCUUAACCCUGGAAUUGCCUUUAAGACUGCAUCGCUAGAAUUGUGGAGAGGUAAGUGGAAUUCCGAGUGUAGAGGUGAAAUUCGUAGAUAUUCGGAAGAACACCAGUGGCGAAGGCGACUUACUGGACACAUAUUGACGCUGAGGUGCGAAAGCUCGGGGGAGCGAACGGG
rnacentral:rRNA from 1 species